rnacentral:rRNA from 1 species
GACGAACGCUGGCGGCGUGCUUAACACAUGCAAGUCGAACGGAAAGGCCCUGCUUUUGUGGGGUGCUCGAGUGGCGAACGGGUGAGUAACACGUGAGUAACCUGCCCUUGACUUUGGGAUAACUUCAGGAAACUGGGGCUAAUACCGGAUAGGAGCUCCUGCUGCAUGGUGGGGGUUGGAAAGUUUCGGCGGUUGGGGAUGGACUCGCGGCUUAUCAGCUUGUUGGUGGGGUAGUGGCUUACCAAGGCUUUGACGGGUAGCCGGCCUGAGAGGGUGACCGGCCACAUUGGGACUGAGAGACGGCCCAGACUCCUACGGGAGGCAGCAGUGGGGAAUAUUGCACAAUGGGCGGAAGCCUGAUGCAGCAACGCCGCGUGCGGGAGGACGGCCUUCGGGUUGUAAACCGCUUUCGCCUGUGACGAAGCGUGAGUGAGGGUAAUGGGUAAGGAAGCACCGGCUAACUACGU